rnacentral:rRNA from 1 species
CUACGGGACGCUCCAGUGAGGAAUAUUGCACAAUGGGGGGAACCCUGAUGCAGCAACGCCGCGUGGAGGAUGACGCAUUUCGGUGUGUAAACUCCUUUUAUAUGUCAAGAAAAUGACGGUAGCAUAUGAAUAAGCACCGGCUAACUCCGUGCCAGCAGCCGCGGUAAUACGGAGGGUGCAAGCGUUACUCGGAAUCACUGGGCGUAAAGGACGCGUAGGCGGGUUGGAAAGUCAGGUGUGAAAUCCUACAGCUUAACUGUAGAACUGCACUUGAAACUUCUAAUCUAGAGUAUGGGAGGGGGAGAUGGAAUUAGUGGCGUAGGGGUAAAAUCCGUAGAUAUCACUAGGAAUACCUAAAGCGAAGGCGAUCUCCUGGAACAUUACUGACGCUAAGGCGUGAAAGCGUGGGGAGCAAACAGGAUUAGAUACCCCGGUAGUC